rnacentral:lncRNA from 1 species
CCGCGCCUGGCCCGCUCGCCGGCGCCGGGAGAGACCUCGUAACGGAACUGGGACGCCAGCGCUGCAUUGUGGGAGCUUUUAAAGCGGCGGGGAGCUCGGCGCGACCCUCGGGCCCACCGGGCCACGCUCGCCCGGCCCGCGACGCCCCCCCGCUGUCGCCUGGCCCGCGACGCACCGAGGCCUGAGGACCCGAAAGCCGGGCGCGGGGAGAUGACCGGUGGCUCGUGACGGUCCCACGGGCAAAAUCUUCCAUCGCCCGGGGCUGAGACUUGUCAAACUGCCCUCUACGGUCACCCGGAAAGUAGGAGGCUUUUUCUGCAGAGGGAAAAAAAUCAAAAAGAGCCGUUCCAUCCCCCCUCCAAGGACUGGGUUUGAAUUGCUUUUCAUCUGCAGUGGCUGUGAUUCAGCGUCCCUCUUAGCAGCAGGCACUGACAGAGGCAGGAGAGGAAAAAAGAAAGAAAGAAAGAGAAAACACAGCAAAUGAAUCAAACGGACGUAGCAGGCAAGAGUGUGGUUAUCGUUGGACCAGGAUUCAGGAUCUGACCGAGUAGCUGACUCUUAAUCCAGUUUGUGUUGAUCACCAGGAGGAUCUGGACCUCAGUGUUAUCACAUCUAAAGGUGAGCAAGUUGACUGACUCUUGAUAACUAACUCUUAUAUGAUGAGCAUUUAUAUCAGGACAGAACUUCCUGAUUGGAUAACAAUACCUACUAUUUAGGAAAAACCCUUCCUAAAAAUCCAGGUAUCCUCACCUCCAGUCUUACUGAUGGCUGCCAAAGUCAGUGAAUUUGCCUCCA